rnacentral:rRNA from 1 species
UCGAACGGAAAGGCCCUGCUUGCAGGGUACUCGAGUGGCGAACGGGUGAGUAACACGUGGGUGAUCUGCCCUGCACUUCGGGAUAAGCUUGGGAAACUGGGUCUAAUACCGGAUAGGACCGCACUUUAGUGUGUGUGGUGGAAAGUUUUUUCGGUGUAGGAUGAGCUCGCGGCCUAUCAGCUUGUUGGUGGGGUAAUGGCCUACCAAGGCGGCGACGGGUAGCCGGCCUGAGAGGGUGUACGGCCACAUUGGGACUGAGAUACGGCCCAGACUCCUACGGGAGGCAGCAGUGGGGAAUAUUGCACAAUGGGCGCAAGCCUGAUGCAGCGACGCCGCGUGGGGGAUGAAGGCCUUCGGGUUGUAAACUCCUUUCGCUAGGGACGAAGCUUUUUGUGACGGUACCUAGAUAAGAAGCACCGGCUAACUACGUGCCAGCAGCCGCGGUAAUACGUAGGGUGCGAGCGUUGUCCGGAAUUACUGGGCGUAAAGGGCUCGUAGGUGGUUUGUCGCGUCGUCUGUGAAUUCUGGGGCUUAACUCCGGGCGUGCAGGCGAUACGGGCAUAACUUGAGUGCUGUAGGGGUAACUGGAAUUCCUGGUGUAGCGGUGAAAUGCGCAGAUAUCAGGAGGAACACCGAUGGCGAAGGCA